UACGUAGGGCGCAAGCGUUGUCCGGAAUUAUUGGGCGUAAAGAGCUCGUAGGCGGUCUGUCACGUCUGCUGUGAAAACCCGGGGCUUAACCCCGGGCUUGCAGUGGAUACGGGCAGACUAGAGGCAGGUAGGGGAGAAUGGAAUUCCCGGUGUAGCGGUGAAAUGCGCAGAUAUCGGGAGGAACACCGGUGGCGAAGGCGGUUCUCUGGGCCUGACCUGACGCUGAGGAGCGAAAGUGUGGGGAGCGAACAGG
rnacentral:rRNA from 1 species